AUGAAGGAGCCCUUGACAUUGGACCUGCGGAGAUCUUGGAGGGCAGCCUAUGACUGGGCGAGGGAGCGAAAGAGGACGAAUGCAUACCUACAGGAGUCGCCAUGCCUCAGGAUGCAGUCAAGUGCAUUACGCGGAGUGAAGGUUGAAAUGAGGUCGUCCUUGCCCGCGUUCGUGGGCAGGUUGUCGAUCCACGGCGUGUUUUUAUCUCAUGGGAUGCCCCUGGCGCGACGACAGCACCCCCUAUGUCGGAGGGUUCUCAUUCAUUCCGUGGCCAAGGAGGCUGAUGUUCUAUCGACCUCGGCGGCCUCGAUCGUCUCUGCGGGCGGUGCCUCCAACAUCAACAAUGGUGGGGGUUGGAGGAGGGAGAUAUCGCCAAACGCCAAGAUUAUGAUGCGGAAAAUUCUGCCUGUCUGA
rnacentral:rRNA from 1 species